AACAGCAAGCAAUAAUCCAGGUUAUGUAGACACAAAGGAUAGAUACUUGAUGUAUUACAGGAAAUGCAACAUUGAUAGAAUAGGAUUAUGAGUACAUAGGAUUCAUAAUAAUUAGACCAGGUCAUUUGUGCAUAUAGGAGAAGCAUUCAGUAGUGCAUCAGGGGAGAAAAUAACACAAAAAUAUCGAAGCAAACCGUUCAUACAGAAGACCAGCGACAAUCACAUAAGCUACCAUGAUCAUCCUGGCAUUGCAUACAUAAGUUUGCAUCCAUCCCCUUCAUCUUCUAGACGAACACGGUACAUGCAGUAGAACAACAAAAGUCUAUCGUAGACACCAACAUAAGUAUUGUGUUUGCAUGGACAACAUAACAACAUCAGCCAACCAGAAGUGCCAAAUACAGAAAUAAAUGUAUGCCAACCAACAUGACGUGACAUAAUCAGAGCCAGCAGAGAAACCAGACACUGUCGUAGACCAUCCAAAGCUACGCCUCCAUAGCCAAAGAUCACUCCUAUGAGCAUCGAUAUUGGCCAGGGGCAGGGCAAUCACCACACAACGCUGCAAACCUGAAGAUCAUGGACAAACAAAUAUGAAUCAGGAACAAAGCAUCUCGAUCAGAUGCAAAUAAAAAGACCCCUGUAUCCAUCUGAAUCAGUUUUUAGAUGACAAACAAUAAACCGCGGCAAUAAAAAAUAGUAGUCAACAACCAUAGGCCAGGAAAUAGCAUCAGUCAUUCCUUUAUCUUACCAUGGAAGCAUCAUAUAUCAUCGAUCUAUAUUGUAAGAACUAUGUAUAAGAAUGAGAACUGGAGUUAUACCCUUUUGCGGUAGUGAAGCAGGGAGGCUGACAUGGAGGCCGAGGCAGUUAUAGAUGACGCCGUGUAUGUCGCGGAGGCCAAAUGUGCCUCAAUGCUCCACCUUCAUUAGCAUGGUCACGAAAACACAAAUAAUUGCCCAC
rnacentral:lncRNA from 1 species